rnacentral:lncRNA from 1 species
GAAAGUGGCUCGAAGCGAGGAAGUGAAAAUCAGUGCUGAGUCUGGAAGCAAACAGGGAAUGAGGCCAGGAAGGAAAUUCAGUGGCAGUAUAUCUUGUUCCUGAAUUUGCAAGAAAUCUUUAUUCA